AACGAACGCUGGCGGCAUGCCUAACACAUGCAAGUCGAACGAGACCUUCGGGGCUAGUGGCGCACGGGUGCGUAACGCGUGGGAAUCUGCCCUUGGCUUCGGAAUAACAGUUAGAAAUGACUGCUAAUACCGGAUGAUGUCUUCGGACCAAAGAUUUAUCGGCCAGGGAUGAGCCCGCGUAGGAUUAGGUAGUUGGUGGGUAAAGGCCUACCAAGCCGACGAUCCUUAGCUGGUCUGAGAGGAUGAUCAGCCACACUGGGACUGAGACACGGCCCAGACUCCUACGGGAGGCAGCAGUGGGGAAUAUUGGACAAUGGGCGCAAGCCUGAUCCAGCAAUGCCGCGUGAGUGAUGAAGGCCUUCGGGUCGUAAAGCUCUUUUACCCGGGAUGAUAAUGACAGUACCGGGAGAAUAAGCUCCGGCUAACUCCGUGCCAGCCGCCGCAGUAAUAC
rnacentral:rRNA from 1 species